GCGGGAGGGGGGCGGGGGGGCCUACUUGGUUCAGAAUUCUCUUCCCUGGCUCGGGCACCAUCAGAGCCUGGAGAUGAAGCACUGCACAAUAGCAGCAGCUACCAGUGCAGGGGCAGAAGGCAGCACAGUGGUCUCCACUACCAGGUUGCCACCUUAACACCUCUUUACCUUCCUGCGGAUGAUUAGAAAUGGCUCACAUAAGGCUACACAACAAGAAGGAUAAGGACGCAGAAACCUCCCAAGCCCCAGAUGCACAUCAUGAGCUUGCACCGCCUCCAGGGGCAGUCAAAUUUCUCUGGACAGUGAGGGCAAGUCCACAGGUCUGCCCGAGAUGUGAUUAGGGGACACGGGGCUCUAUCACAGAGAUGAGAAAAUCAAGCACAACAGGGUUUCACGUCUUACACAAGGUCACCUGCCCUGAGGUGCAAGAGCCAAGACAGAAUGCAAGGUAAUCCAGUCCUUGAUACAUUGAGGUGUGACUCCUUAAUCAUAUUCUGCUGGGAUGUAGCAAUAUAGUCUCGGCUACUGGAAGGACGGAUGGAGAACCACCUUAGACUACACUUUGGGGACAAUCAUGGGCAACAUACUACCAUCACUCAAAAAGAAGUUUUGAAAAAUUCCCACCUUUUUAUUAUGAGCCUGUUCCCUGAAAGCACAAAUCUCCACUCUCAGGUCUCACUAUUCUGUUUCAGAAACCCUGGCCCUCUGCUGAAUCCUCUGCAUGCCUCUGUCUCAAGAACUUAGUUUAGAAAUCUGUUAGAAUGAAGAACUGAGGGGCUGGGAUGGAGCUCAGUGGUAGAGUACUAUGCCCAACAUGCACAAGGCCAUAGGUUUGAUCCCUGGCACCCAAAAGAAAACUAAAACAAAAACUGAGGAUUCAGGUUGAAUCAGGAACAAUUUAUAAAUCGACCUUAUGGGGCUCUAAAAUUGGGAAGCCUAUGAGAUUGGGGGGGGGCCUGAAAAACUGGGUGGGCACACUGUCACUACAGAUACCCAAGAGUAUGGCUCCAGGUCCAAAUAUCUGUGAUUAAGUCCCAGCCGUGUGAACCAGGAGUUAGGAACACAUGGCCAUAAACUGAAAUGUCCUCAAAGGUAAAGAGAUGGCACAGUGGGUCAAGGAUCAGACCAGAAAACCUGCUCCAUCUAAAAGACUGUAUGCCUCAGGUGUGAUGACACAAGCCUUUAGUUGUAGCCCUUAAAUCCUAGUAUUAGGGAGGCAGGGGCUGGGGGAUCUAUAUGAGUUCAAGGCCAGCUUGUGUCUACAGAGUCAUUCCAAACUGGCUAAGACCUCAUGAAUAAAUAAAUAAGUCAUGUCCGCCCCCCCAGUCACCCACUAUCUCUAGCUCUCUAGUUAGGCAGUGCUGACUAAGUCAGUUAACACAGCGUCUGAUUUCCACCAUAUAUAUAUAAAAAACAAGAAGGAAGACUUCAUCUCACUGGAAUUUUAUGUUGCUCAAACAUUUCUGUCUGUAGAAAACAUGGGAAGUAUAGCAUAGUCUAUAAAUGGAGAGGAAAGAAAAAUAUGCUGACUGGAGGCUUGUUGGGCAUCUGCCACACAGUCUCCAGGAAUUCUGAGAGCAUUCCUCUGAGGAGGGGCUUGCACUCCUCUCAGACAGAUGAGGGAAGGCCCUUCAAGGGAUAUGGUGAUUGCAGUGGAGCCAGAUUUCAAAGUGAGACCCUCCAAGGGCUCAGAGCAGUCUCCUUUGCCCAACCCCACAGUCACUGUUGAUGGGGCCCAGUGCCUAGUCCUAGAUCAGCUCCGGCCUGAGCCAUACCCCAACCUCUGGUAUCAACUGUUGUCAAAGUGUGACUUUUGUCCCGAGAGUCACACCAAGAUGACUUCAGUAGAGCCCGAAAGAAUAGGUUUUAAAUGUCACACCAUGCUUGUUAUUUAAAAUGUAGAGGAGGCUUACUGACAGAGAUUCCUCAAUUCCAUUCAGUCAGGUUGCAGAAGGCUAAAUAAUGGCCGGCCAAAGACUUUUGGCUCCGGUCUCCAGGGGCCACUUUCCUCUCUUAUUUUUUCUAUGGCAUUUGUUCCAAUUAACUUAAAUCCAUACUUUAUUCAAACUUUAGAAUUUCCCCACUAUCUUAGGGUUACUAUUGCUAUGAUGAAACAUCAUGACCAAAAAUAUGUUGGGGAAGAAAGGGUUUAUGGCUUACACUUCUAUAUCACUGUUCAUCAUCAAAGGAGAUCAGGACAGAAACUCAAACAGAGCAGGAUCCUGGAGGCAGGAGCUGAUUCGGAAGCCUCAGAGGGGUGCUGCUUACUGCCUUGCUCAUCAUGGCUUGCUCAGUUUGCUGUCUUACAGAAGAACUCAGGAACACCAACCCAGUGAUGGUACCACCUACCGCAGGCUGGAUCUUCGAUCAUUGAUCUCUACUUGAGAAAAUCUGUAAUAGCUAUAUCUUAUGGAGGCAUUUUCUCAAUUGAGGCUCCUUCCUCUCUAAUAACUCUAGCAAGUUAACAUAAAACAGCCAGUUUACCCACUAAUACACUUAUUUAGUUUCAGAGUCCUAUGGAGGACCCCACACUACGUGUAAGUCAUCUUCUCUCCUUGCUCCCCUCUCUGCACUGUCUUGAGGUUUCUUGUUCUCAUGACCUGAUAGGUAUUUGCUUGUUUGUUUGUUUUUUGAGACAGAGUCUCACUAUGUUUGGCUACACUGGAACUUCUUAUGUAGACAAGGCCUGGCUUCAAACUCUAGAGAUUUGAUUGCCUCCGCCUCCAGGGCGCUGGGGUUAAAGGCAUACAGCACUACAGUUGGCUCUAAUCUUGACCUAUUGAGAGGUAUUGGCCAGCUGUUUUACAGGAAUCCCUGGAUUUGGGUCCAUCUGAUGUCUUCCUCAUGUUUAGACGGGAGUCAUGCAGUUGGGAGAAGGGCACCAUGGGUAAAUGCUCCUGCUGCCACUGUGGGUCAGGGCUACAUGCUCUCGCAUGGCCUGAUCACAUGAUCAAGCUGAAUUAUGCCAUGUUUCUCCACACUGUAGUUAGUGUAUGUACUCCACCACUGAGCUCCAUCCCAGCCCUGAGAGUCUUAUGUAAGAAUGAUUUGUCCUGGGCUGGAGAGUUGGCUCAACAGUUAAGAGCACUCGUUGUUCUCCUAGAGGCCCCGAGGUCAGUUCCCAGCACCCUCAGUGACUCACAGCCAUCCAUAAUUCCAGUUCUAGGGAAUGUCACGGCCUCUUCUGACCUCACCGAGUACUAGGCAUACACAUGGUGUACAUAUAUAUACACGCUUGCAAACAUAAAAUAACACCUUUUAAAAAUCUAAAAGAAUAAUUUCCCACAAUUUUUUAAAAGAUUUAUUUAUUUAUUUUAUGUAAGUACACUGUAGCUGUCUUCAGACACCCCAGCAGAGGGCAUCAGAUCUUAUUACAGGUGGUUGUGAGCCACCAUGUGGUUGCUGGGAUUUGAACUCGGGACCUUCGGAAGAGCAGUCGGUGCUCUUAACCACUGAGCCAUCUCGCCAGCUAGAUGGACCUUUUUAAGAACUAUAUAUUUGAGCCAUCAAGACAACUCAGCACUAAAGGCACUUUCUGGCAAGCCUGACAGUCACCAAUCCCAU
rnacentral:lncRNA from 1 species